ACAGCACAUCGAGCGCCCUCGACUGAAGCCAACCUUGUCCCGGAAGUUGGUGCUUCACAACUUUGCAGCAGCACUUUGUUUGCACGGCCUGUGGAGACAAGGUUUCUUAGACAUGGCCAUGGCCCUCAAGGAAGAUGCCUAUGCCACAGGCAGUUCCUCCAGUGACCGUGAAAAGGUCCCCUGGGGCACAAGUCUAAUUUGGCACCCCUUCCUUUCUCCUGCAGCUUUUCUGUCUACUUAGCUAACCAGCAGCAAGUUUAUCCUUGCAAGCGUUUAGGGUCAACAACAACUUUCACCAGGAAGAAGUGCAAGACGAGUGAUUGAAGAAAA